GGCUCAGGACGAACGCUGGCGGCGUGCCUAACACAUGCAAGUCGAACGGGGUUAUGUAGCAAUACAUUGGUAAAGUGGCGGACGGGUGAGUAACACGUAGGUAACCUGCCCUCAAGCGGGGGACAACCCCGGGAAACCGGGGCUAAUACCGCAUAAGCUCACGAACUGAGAUGUUUGUGGGAAAAGCUGCACUGUGAGUAAUCCACUUGAGGAGGGGCCUGCGGCCUAUCAGGUAGUUGGUGGGGUAACGGCCUACCAAGCCAAAGACGGGUAGCCGGACUGAGAGGUUGAACGGCCACACUGGAACUGAGACACGGUCCAGACUCCUACGGGAGGCAGCAGUGGGGAAUUUUGCGCAAUGGGGGAAACCCUGACGCAGCGACGCCGCGUGGAGGAUGAAGGUUUUCGGAUUGUAAACUCCUCUUGCAGGGGAAGAUAGAGUGGGUAACCACUUUGACGGUACCCUGCGAAUAAGCCACGGCUAACUCUGUGCCAGCAGCCGCGGUAAGACAGAGGUGGCAAGCGUUGUUCGGAAUUACUGGGCUUAAAGGGCGCGUAGGUGGUGAAGUAAGUCCGGGGUGGAAGGCUGAGGCUUAACCUUGGAAUUGCCCUGGAAACUACUUUACUUGAGUCAGCGAGGGGAUGGCGGAAUUCCCGGUGUAGCGGUGAAAUGCGUAGAGA
rnacentral:rRNA from 1 species